rnacentral:rRNA from 1 species
UACGGGAGGCAGCAGUGGGGAAUAUUGGACAAUGGGCGCAAGCCUGAUCCAGCCAUACCGCGUGGGUGAAGAAGGCCUUCGGGUUGUAAAGCCCUUUUGUUGGGAAAGAAAAGCAGUCGAUUAAUACUCGGUUGUUCUGACGGUACCCAAAGAAUAAGCACCGGCUAACUUCGUGCCAGCAGCCGCGGUAAU